rnacentral:rRNA from 1 species
UACGUAGGGUGCAAGCGUUGUCCGGGAAUUAUUUGGGCGUAAAGAGCUUGUAGGCGGUUUGUCGCGUCUGCUGUGAAAACCCGAGGCUCAACCUCGGGCCUGCAGUGGGUACGGGGCAGACUAGAGUGCGGGUAGGGGAGAUUUGGAAUUCCUGGUGUAAGCGGUGGAAUGCGCAGAUAUCAGGAGGAACACCGAUGGCGAAGGCAGAUCUCUGGGCCGUAACUGACGCUGAGGAGCGAAAGCAUGGGGGAGCGAAACGGGG